rnacentral:miRNA from 1 species
AUAUAAACUCUCUGGGUAUUUUUGUGAAAAAUGCAGAUUCUGAUUCAGUAGGUCCAGGGUAAUGCCUGAGAUUCUGCAUUUUUAGCAAGCUCCUAAGUGAUGCUGAG